rnacentral:tRNA from 1 species
GGAUGGGUGGCCGAGCGGUUGAAGGCACCGGUCUUGAAAACCGGCAAAGGGGAGACUCUUUCGUGGGUUCGAAUCCCACCCCAUCCGCCA